rnacentral:rRNA from 1 species
GCGCAGCAGGCGCGAAUCCUCCCCAAUGCCCGAAAGGGCGAGGGGGCCACCCCGAGUGCCACCCCUCGUGGUGGCUUUUGCCGGGUCUAAAAAGCCCGGCGAAGUAAGGGGGGCGAAGACGGGUGUCAGCCGCCGCGGUAAUACCCGCCCCCCGACGUGGUGGGGAUCAUUACUGGGCUUAAAGCGCCCGUAGCCGGCCGGGUGUGUCCUCCGUUAAACUCCACGGGCCUAACCCGUGGGCUGCGGAGGAUACUAUUCGGCGUUGGGGGUGGGAGAGGGCGGCGGUAGUUCCCGGGGUAGGGGUAAAAUCCUCU